rnacentral:piRNA from 1 species
UAGUCUAGUGUGUCAGGCAGAGGCUC